CAUGGUUUUAGAUGAAUUAGUAAAUGCUUGUAACUAUGUUCCAAUAUGUCCUAGUCUUUGGAAAUGUAAGAAGUUAAACUUGCUAAAACUUCUUGCCAUAAGCUUUCUUUCUUUUCCAUAUUUACAAGAACUGUAGCUAUACCAGUAACUACAAGUGGUAGUCCCUUGCAACUCGUUGCAAUUUGUUUUCCAACAUCUUGAAGUUCUGGAUGGCAAAGAGCUUUCCAGAAAACCUUCUGCUGUAAUAAAUCCCAACACUCAUCUACUGAUAAGGAAAGGAAGUUCAUUAGUGAUGCAAUUGGAUGAACCUUGCAAAGCUACAUGUUUAUUCCAACUUGUAAGUAGUACUCUAUUUCUAGUUUUGUCUUUUGGAAUGUACAUUUCCAAAUCAUCCCAUGCUACCACGUUCCAAUAUCAUCCAUAAUAAUGAAUCUUCUCUCCUUUAAAUUUUGGUAAAGAUUAAGCUCCAACUCAUUAUCUUCCUUGUUCAAGUAAUUUUUUUCUUCUAGGUAAGACAUGGAACACAAAAGGUUAAUCAAUAGCCUUUUCCUGUUAAAUGUUUGAGAAACAAAAAACCAGAGACGCAUAUCGAAGUGGUUGAGAAAAGAGGAAUCGUUGUACAAUUUCUUUGCUAACAUAGUCUUACCAAGUCCAGGCAUCCCGUUGAUGGAAAUAAUUUGUAGGUAGUUUGUUCCUCUAACAAGCUAGCUUGCAAUUCGCAUAGUUUCAUCCUGCAAGCCCACGAUAAUCUCAUCAACUAUCGGAAUGCUUUCAACAACUUGGGACGAUACUUCAAUAGAACUUUGUACAACUUCAGGACUACUAAUGCCGUAAUUCAACUUGAUUUUUGGGAGUGCAGUCUUGAUGAGUUUAUUCUUCUGGAUGAAAUUAGAGAACUUGAAAGUAAGAUACCAAACAGAAAUGUCUCUAGCUACAUACCAGUUGACGAUAUAUUCAGAUUCAAAUGCCAGGUCUCUGCAUUGCAUUACACAUUCAAUCAAUUCUUUAUCUUACUGCAACUCUAUUUCCCUGAGGAAGGAUAUGGAGAAAUGUAGUUCCUCAUGGAGUGUUGUAAUUUGAUCCAUCACAUAAAAAAUGAGAUGAGCUUUGUUAUUUAUUAAAUUAUUGAGAUAAUCAAGGACGGAAUCAACAGAAUAUUGAAUCCAAAAGUAGUGUUUGGAGUUGUAACACUUGGCAGGUUUGAGAUAGUGAU
rnacentral:lncRNA from 1 species